GAAUUCGCCCAUAAACUUCUAACCCUUCUUAAUUCCUACAGCCCUCCAGAAUUACGAAAUGCUUGCAUUGAUGUCCUCAAGGAACUUGUCCUUUUGAGCCCCCAUGAUUUUCUGCAUACUCUGGUUCCCUUCCUACAGCACAACCAUUGUACUUACCAUCACAGUAAUAUACCAAGUGUCCUGGUUGCCUACGAAGGCUUGCCACUUCACCUUGCACUGUUCCCCAAACUUUGGACUGAGCUGUGCCAGACUCAGUCAGCUAUGUCAAGAAACUGCGUCAAGCUUCUGUGUGAGGAUCCUGUUUUUGCAGAGUACAUUAAAUGUAUCCUAAUGGAUGAAAGAACUUUUCUAAACAACAAUAUUGUCUACACGUUCAUGACACAUUUCCUUCUAAAGGUUCAAAGUCAAGUAUUUUCAGAAGCAAACUGUGCCAGUUUGAUCAGUACCCUUAUUACAAACCUGAUAAAUCAGUAUCAAAACCUACAAUCUGAUUUCACCAACCGAGUUGAAAUUUCAAAAGCAAGUGCUUCUUUAAAUGGGGACCUGAGGGCACUUGCUUUGCUCCUGUCAGUACACACUCCCAAACAGUUAAACCCAGCUCUGAUUCCAACUCUGCAAGAGCUUUUAAACAAGUGCAGGACUUGUCUGCAGCAGAGAAACUCACUCCAAGAGCAAGAAGCCAAAGAAAGGAAAACGAA
rnacentral:lncRNA from 1 species